UACGUAGGGUGCAAGCGUUGUCCGGAAUUAUUGGGCGUAAAGAGCUCGUAGGCGGUCCGUCACGUCGGCUGUGAAAACCCGGGGCUCAACCCCGGGCCUGCAGUCGAUACGGGCGGACUAGAGUUCGGCAGGGGAGACUGGAAUUCCUGGUGUAGCGGUGAAAUGCGCAGAUAUCAGGAGGAACACCGGUGGCGAAGGCGGGUCUCUGGGCCGAUACUGACGCUGAGGAGCGAAAGCGUGGGGAGCAAACAGG
rnacentral:rRNA from 1 species